rnacentral:rRNA from 1 species
AGAGUUUGAUCCUGGCUCAGGAUGAACGCUGGCGGCGUGCCUAAUACAUGCAAGUCGAACGAGGUGCUUUUGUAGCAAUACGAGAGUAUCCUAGUGGCGAACGGGUGAGUAACGCGUUGGUGACCUACCCCAAAGUGUGGGAUAACAGUCCGAAAGGAUUGCUAAUACCGCAUGUGGUCCUCAGGUUUAGAAACUGAUGACUAAAGGAGCAAUUCGCUUUGGGAGGGACCUGCGUCCCAUCAGCUAGUUGGUGAGGUAAUGGCUCACCAAGGCGACGACGGGUCGGGGACCUGAGAGGGUGACCCCCCACAAUGGAACUGAAACACGGUCCAUACACCUACGGGUGGCAGCAGUAGGGAAUAUUGCACAAUGGGCGAAAGCCUGAUGCAGCAACGCCGCGUGCACGAUGAAGGCCUUCGGGUCGUAAAGUGCUUUUCUGGGAGAUGAGAAAGGACAGUAUCCCAGGAAUAAGUCUCGGCUAACUACGUGCCAGCAGCCGCGGUAAAACGUAGGAGGCGAGCGUUAUCCGGAUUCACUGGGCGUAAAGCGCGUGCAGGUGGCUUGGUAAGUUAGGCGUGAAAUCUCCCGGCUCAACUGGGAGAGGUCGUCUAAUACUACCGGGCUAGAGAACAGAAGAGGAAGAUGGAAUUCCCGGUGUAGUGGUGAAAUGCGUAGAUAUCGGGAGGAACACCAGUGGCGAAGGCGAUCUUCUGGUCUGUUUCUGACACUCAGACGCGACAGCUAGGGUAGUAAACGGGAUUAGAGACCCCGGUAAUCCUAGCCGUAAACGAUGUGAACUUGGCGUUGGUGGGUUAAACUCCAUCGGUGCCGCAGCCAACGCGAUAAGUUCACCACCUGGGGACUACGGCCGCAAGGUUAAAACUCAAAGGAAUUGACGG